CAAUAGCAUAUAUUAACGUUGUUGCAGUUGAAAAGCUCGUAGUUGAACUUUUGGUAGGAGCGACCUGGCCUUGGGCGCAUGCCCUUGUUUGCCGUGUGUCGUAUCUGGCCAUCCUUUUCCGUUUCGGCGGGAAUCUUUUACUGUGAGUAAACUGGAGUGCUCAAAACAAGACGUUUGUUUGGUACAUUAAAGCGUGGAAUAAUAAGAUAGGACCUGGUUACUAUUUUGUUGGUUUGCAUAGCUAGGUAAUGAUUAACAGGGACAGUUGGGGGUAUUCGUAUUUAAUUGUCAGAGGUGAAAUUCUUGGAUUUAUGAAAGACGAACGACUGCGAAAGCAUUUACCAAGGAUGUUUUCAUUAA
rnacentral:rRNA from 1 species